rnacentral:rRNA from 1 species
CGCCUGUUUAUCAAAAACAUGUCUUUUUGAAUAAUAAUUUAAAGUCUAGUCUGCCCACUGAUUAUUAAAUUAAAGGGCUGCAGUAUAUUGACUGUACAAAGGUAGCAUAAUCAUUAGUCUCUUAAUUGAUGACUUGUAUGAAUGAUUGGAUAAGAUAUAAACUGUCUCUUAAUGAAUUUAUAGAAUUUAAUUUUUUAUUUAAAAAGUUAAAAUAGUUUUAAAAGACGAGAAGACCCUAUAGAGUUUAAUAUUUAUUUAUAUUAAAAUUAUAUGUAUAAAUUUAAUUAAAAUUUAUUUAAUUAUUUUAUUGGGGUGAUAAAAAAAUUAAAAAAACUUUUUUUAAAAUUUAACAUAGAUAAUUGAUUAUUUGAUCCAAUAUUUUUGAUUAUAAGAUUAAAUUACCUUAGGGAUAACAGCGUAAUUUUUUUUUUUAGUUCGUAUAAAAAAAAAAGUUUGCGACCUCGAUGUUGGAUUAAGAUAAAAUUUAAAUGCAAAAGUUUAAAAUUUUGAUCUGUUCGAUCAUUAAAAUCUUACAUGAUCUGAGUUCAAACCGGAG